rnacentral:rRNA from 1 species
UACGAAGGAUCCAAGCGUUGUCCGGAUUUACUGGGUUUAAAGGGUGCGUAGGCGGACUCAUAAGUCAGUGGUGAAAGCCUUCAGCUUAACUGAAGAACUGCCAUUGAAACUGUGAGUCUCGAGUUCGGUUGAGGUCAUUGGAAUGUAACAUGUAGCGGUGAAAUGCAUAGAUAUGUUACAGAACACCAAUUGCGAAGGCAGAUGACUAAACCGAAACUGACGCUGAGGCACGAAAAGCGUGGGGGAUCAAAACAGGAUUAGAUACCCCGGUAGUCC